UCACUGAAACAUGUAUUAACAUAGAGAUGUAUUGUCUGGGCACAGUACCAUAUUAGAUAUGUGUCUGAACUGCCUGUCCCAGCUAAGGACAAGGUGUUUUUUUAUUAAUAAGAAAAUGUAUAAUUACUCUAACUUUCCUUUGUUCUUUGAGUGGAGCCCGAGAAGCACUGAGCAACGUGUGUGUUAUUUGUAGAUCUCGCCAUUCCCGUCUGGCAAAUUGAUUAAAAGAUUGCUUUGGUUUACGUUUAA